rnacentral:ncRNA from 1 species
UGAGCCGUGUGAUGGGAAACUAUCACGCACGGUUCUUAGGGGGGAAGCGCCCGGAAGGGCGGCGACCCACCC